rnacentral:rRNA from 1 species
UACGGAGGGUGCGAGCGUUAAUCGGAAUAACUGGGCGUAAAGCGCACGCAGGCGGUUUGUUAAGUCAGAUGUGAAAGCCCCGAGCUUAACCUGGGAACUGCAUCUGAUACUGGCAAGCUUGAGUCUUGUAGAGGGGGGUAGAAUUCCAUGUGUAGCGGUGAAAUGCGUAGAGAUGUGGAGGAAUACCGGUGGCGAAGGCGGCCCCCUGGACAAAGACUGACGCUCAGGUGCGAAAGCGUGGGGAGCAAACAGG